rnacentral:snRNA from 1 species
GGAUGUGAGGGCGAUCUGGCUGCGACAUCUGUCACCCCAUUGAUUGCCAGGGUUGAUUCGGCUGAUCUGGCUGGCUAGGCGGGUGUCCCCUUCCUUCCUCACCGCUCCAUGUGUGUCCCUGUCCCUACCGAAGCUGUGAGCUCGGUGGAAGAGGACGACCAUCCCCAGUAGAGGAGGACCGUUCUUCGGUCAAGGGUAUACGAGUAGAUGUGCUCUCCUGCUAGAAACUCCAAACAAGCUCUCAAGGUCCAUUUGUAGGAGAAGGUAGGGUAGUCAAGCUUCCAAGACUCCAGACACAUCCAAAUGAGGCACUGCACGUGGCAGUCUGCCUUUCUUU